UAGUUAUAGCACUGCCUGCAUGCCUUAGAAGGACUUACAUAUUUAUGAAAUGAAGAGAAUGUGUUUAGAUUACCCUGCUGUGCCCAGAAUCACAGUUUAGCCUCCUUUAAUGUAAUUUGAAGCUUUACGUCCUGACAGUUAUGGUUCGUUAAACCCCAACACUAAUUGGUCUCUAGUUUGUGUGCACCCUUCUGCUCUAGCCGCUCUGGACCGCUCUUCACCCCGCAGCAUGGCAUGCGCUUUCGGGAUCUGCUUGCUUCUGUGCUGUUUCCUCUGCUUGGAAUGUGCUCCCCUCCCCCUCACCCGGUGACCUCCUCAGCUGAGGCUCAGCUCCAUUGCCUGCAUACCGGGGAAUCCUGUCCCUCCCUCCGAGAUGACCAUGUGCUUCAGCUAGACUGUGAGCUCCACGAGAGCAGGACUCUUUGCUUUGUUGUUUUGUGUAGUUGCCCCAAACCUUGCACGUAGUAGCCUAUUAAAUAAAUACUGCUUUACUCUCCAUUUGAUUCUAGAAGGGUGUAGUGAUAAUAAAUGCUUAUUCAAUAAAUGUGUACAACACG
rnacentral:lncRNA from 1 species